UACGUAAGUGGCGAGCGUUAUCCGGAAUUACUGGGCGUAAAGCGUGCGCAGGCGGUUGUGCAAGACAGAUGUGAAAUCCCCGGGCUUAACCUGGGAACUGCAUUUGUGACUGCACAGCUGGAGUGCGGCAGAGGGGGAUGGAAUUCCGCGUGUAGCAGUGAAAUGCGUAGAUAUGCGGAGGAACACCGAUGGCGAAGGCAAUCCCCUGGGCCUGCACUGACGCUCAUGCACGAAAGCGUGGGGAGCAAACAGG
rnacentral:rRNA from 1 species